rnacentral:ncRNA from 1 species
UUGGUUCCGGUUCACGGUUCGGCACCCUGCCGCACCGACCCGGCGGCC